rnacentral:siRNA from 1 species
AGGUGCGAGACUGAGCCCGGCUU